GCUCCUUGGUGAGAAGACCACCACAGCGGCAGGGUCCAGCCACAGCAGGCCCGGCGUCCCGGUGGAAGGCAGCCCUGGGCGGAACCCAGGCGUUUAACGGCUCACUAGGCAGCCCCAGAUCUGGGGAACAGAUGAGCACGUGGGGAGCUGGAGUGAGCUGAGCAGAAGUUUUGUGCCCGCCUGCCCCCAUCCCCUCCAGGCCACGUUUUAGAUGGCCCUUGUAGUUGCGGGUCCUGGGUGUCCUCAGAACUAGACAUCAAUGCCUGGAUCCUUCAGCCGGCCCUGCCCUCCUUUAGGAGACAGGAGUCACCAGGGCACAGCCCUCCAGGCCCGCCUCAGGAAGGAAUGAAAGGAAUGCCAUCAUCUCUAGUUCCCAGGGCCCAGCCUUCCCCUUCUCCCCCGGGGCAGGGACAGUGCGGCAUAUUCAGAUUCAGACCUCUUUGGGCUGAGCCACCUUGUGAGUGCAGUUACUGCCUUUGUGUGGCCGUGACCUCUAUUUGUUUGCUUUUAAUUUGCCAACCUAUCGCUGCUGGCAGCACUUUUUGAGCAAGCCGAGAGCACCCAUUUUGGCUGGGGGUUCAGAUCGAUGGCCUUGUCCAUGUUGUCCUUUCUGGCUUCCCUGAUGGUGUCAUGUUUCAGCGCAUGCGCCCCAGCCUUUCCCAUGUGCCAAACCAGAAGCUCCACUGCCCGUAGGCUGUCCCUGUAGCCCUGCUCCCUCCCUGGAGGCUGCUCUUCUGAUUCUGAGAGCUGGCCUAGUGGUGCUGAGGGCCCCUUUCUGCUUCUCUGCCCACCUGCUGAGUUGCCACUCGCAGUGUUGUCAGUUCCCGUGUUCUGAGAAGAGGUCAUGCCUGGGAGGAAGGGAUCGUCAUGCUGCAUCGAAUCCUCUCUCCGCCGUGUGGCCCCCAGGAGAGUAGCUGCCUGUUGCACCUGCUCCACACCUCCCCACAGCCUCCCUGCAGGUGCUGUGUGGCCGUGAUGUGCAGAGAGCAGUGAGGGAGGGUUCAUGAACCAGGUGGAUCCUCUUUAAAAAAAAAAAAGUUUUUGUUAUAUCU
rnacentral:lncRNA from 1 species